rnacentral:rRNA from 1 species
CAGUCGAACGGCAGCACGGGUGCUUGCACCUGGUGGCGAGUGGCGAACGGGUGAGUAAUACAUCGGAACGUACCUUAUCGUGGGGGAUAACGCAGCGAAAGCUGUGCUAAUACCGCAUACGCCCUGAGGGGGAAAGCGGGGGAUCGAAAGACCUCGCGCGAUUAGAGCGGCCGAUGCCUGAUUAGCUUGUUGGUGGGGUAAAAGCCCACCAAGGCGACGAUCAGUAGCUGGUCUGAGAGGACGAUCAGCCACACUGGGACUGAGACACGGCCCAGACUCCUACGGGAGGCAGCAGUGGGGAAUUUUGGACAAUGGGGGAAACCCUGAUCCAGCAAUGCCGCGUGAGUGAAGAAGGCCUUCGGGUUGUAAAGCUCUUUUGUCAGGGAAGAAACACCGGCUCUAACACAGUCCGGGAAUGACGGUACCUGAAGAAUAAGCACCGGCUAACUACGUGCCAGCAGCCGCGGUAAUACGUAGGGUGCGAGCGUUAAUCGGAAUUACUGGGCGUAAAGCGUGCGCAGGCGGUUAUACAAGACAGGCGUGAAAUCCCCGGGCUUAACCUGGGAAUGGCGCCUGUGACUGUAUAGCUAGAGUGUGUCAGAGGGGGGUAGAAUUCCACGUGUAGCAGUGAAAUGCGUAGAUAUGUGGAGGAAUACCAAUGGCGAAGGCAGCCCCCUGGGAUAACACUGACGCUCAUGCACGAAAGCGUGGGGAGCAAACAGGAUUAGAUACCCUGGUAGUCCACGCCCUAAACGAUGCUGACUAGUUGUUCGGGAUUUACAUCCUGAGUAACGUAGCUCACGCGUGAAGUCAGCCGCCUGGGGAGUACGGUCGCAAGAUUAAAACUCAAAGGAAUUGACGG